GAUAGAUUAUAAGUCAAUAGUUAUUAGUUAAUGAUCAAAAGAUCAAUUAAUCGAAUCGGGACAAUCUAGCGCUAUGUUAAGCAAUCAUAGUUCGAUCUAUAUAAAGAUCACACUAUGGGAGGCUGGGGAAUGAAACUUAUGCAUCAAACAUAUUAGGGAAUUAAUACAAAUUAAUCUCUUAAAAUACGAAACACAAUAGAAAAAUGAAAGAAAGAAAAUAGAAUCAAAAGGAUUAAAAAUCAAUUAAUCAAAUAAUAGAAAAAAGAAUUGGAUAGUGGAAAAUAAAUGGAAAAUUAAACAUCAAGAGAUUGAAAGAAAAUUAAAGUGUAAAACAAUUUUGAAAAGAAAUUAAAAAAAGAAACAAAUAAGAAGUAAAUAACAAAAAAUCCAGAAAUUAAAAUCAAAAGCCAGGGGUUGCAAAGCAGAAAAUAGUGGUAUGUCGGAGUUUGGGCACAGAGGCCCAAUCCAAGGCCCACUGGCCUUAAGCCCUGAACAGAGGGGUACAGGAAGCAGUUUGAGGUGUUUGAACAUGAUUGCGGAUGGGACAACGCAUGCAGAGGCCCAUUCACUCCUUACUCACGCAGGAAGGGUGCACCAAGUGGACUCAGGGGUGCUACUAGCAAAUCCAUGGGCAUGAGUCCCAGCCGAAUUUAAACCAAAGCAAAAUGAGGGAAGGGUCAGCUUGCUUGGAUUCAACUCACAUGCAUUCAUACAUCACUUCAAUGCUCUCUCCUCUAACAUAUUUCAUCCCCGGAGUCUCUAAUCAACUCCGGCGAUGACGAAGGGCCAAACAUGAAAUUGAUUGCAUCAUUCUAUUCGAUUUCACCCCCUCCAUUCAAAUCUUAUAAUCACUGAACCUAAUUCCAAAUAUAAAGGCCAAAUCGAAACAAAAAGUGUAUGGACCCUAAUCUACAAAACCAGAAAUUAAAUGAAGACCACGAUGGAUCAAAGCCUCUGAUGAGAGGGCUUUGAUUCCUGACACAAGGAGCUACAUCUUGGUAAGCAAAUUUAAGCAAAAUGGAGCAGAAUAAUUGGAGCCCUACUUGCCGGAGACGAAGGUGAUGACGACGGAGAUGAAGGUUAAAUCAGGUACUCUUCAAUUCAUUCCUUCCUUUCCCCUUUUCAAAAUCUUCUUCUUCUCUUCUGCUCUGAGUUAUUAAUAUUGUUCUGAGAGUGAGUGAUUAAGAGGUUUAGGGUGAGUGGUUGAUUGAGAUCGCUUGAGGGAGAUUGAGAGACUACAAGUUUUGAGAGAGCUUAUGUGAGUGAAUUUGCGAAUCGAUGAGAGUGGAAGUUUUAGAGGCUUAGCUCAAGCACACUUGAAGCUUCAAGGUGAAGCUUUAAUGGCUGCAACAUUGAGCUUUAGGUGAGGGUUUGGUGAGAGAGAUUCCGAGAGUGACCGAAGAAGAUGAUUGGUGAAAAAAGUGGAAAAUGAUUGGUGAAAAAAGUGGAAAAUGAUUGGUGAAGUUUUUUUUUUUGGAAAAUGAAUCGUGAACCAUCCAAUUGUGAGGUGUAAUUCUGGCAGAGUUUUAGUGGUUGCAAAGCUUAAUCUCAAAGUGUGACGAGAGUGCUCAAUUUAUAGGGCAAUUGAGGGUGAAUGAUACAUGUGAUAUAUACUACCACUUGUAUUUGUAUUGUCUUGUUAUAUACUACAACUUGUACCUAGUUUUAUUUUACACUCGUAUUCUUUGUUUACUUGGGCCUGCAUGAUGGUCAUUGUUAUGAGUUUGUGGACUGUCUAUUAUGUUGUUAUUGCUGAUAUGUGCUACUUGUUUUUAUUCUUUUAGGAUUAGCCAAUCACAAUAGUGUGAUGGAUUGCCAAAUUGUUAAAUGCUAGAAUUGAUUUCUAAGUUGUUAGUUAGGAAAACUAGGUUAUUAGCAUAAUGUUGGUUCUGAUGUGGAUACUUGAAUAAUGGUUAGUAUUAGGUUUUCUUUAGAUCAUGUAACUGACUUGGAAAAAAUGCUAAUAAAGCUUGUAAGUUGGACUGAUGUUGUUGUGAUAUUGCUAUGGACUAAUUGGUUUGCUAUGUUGUUAUGAUGUUGUAGGAAAAGGUGAGAUUAUGGUGGCAAGACAAGUCAGAGUAUUGUGGAGGCCUAUGGAAACAUCAUGGCAUGGUGGAUUGACGGGCUGUCAAGUUCAAAGCUUCUUCCUUUUUUUACUUUUGAUUCAAGCUAUGUAACAUGUGAACAUGUAGCAUGCUAUGAUGAUGUAGUAGUUAUUAGGAAAUGGAUUAGUUUAUGUAAAAUGAUUUUAUUCUUGUAAUGAAGAAUGUUUAUGGAUAAGCUCAUGUGAUCAUGCUUGUGUAAAGAAAAAGCUUAAUUGUGAUUCAAACUCAAAUUUGUGAUUCCAAUUCAAAUCAAACCCCACUUGUUUUGCUAGACCCAAAAUGUGUGUAAUCCUCUUAUGAGUGCUAUAUA
rnacentral:lncRNA from 1 species